CAACUGGCUUGUUCUUUGUGUAGGAAACUUUAAACUUCGGAGUGGCUUCAAUCAGUGUAGGAUUAAACAUGGCAGCUGUUACAAGGGUCCUUGCCCGCUUGGGACUGUGAUCAUUGGGAACUGCAACUUUUUCUAUCAGUGCUGCAAAUGAGAGCAGAAAAGGCCAACAGAAAAGCAUCCAACAACAUCCUGGAAGAUGGGAUACUCAGAAGAAUACUUUUUGUGAAUCUAGCUAUACCAAGGCAGGUGGACAAAGCUUUUCCAUCCCUUUGUCAUUUGCUUGAUGGGCUGCAGCAGCUUAAAAGAAAGAAAUAAUAUGGUGGAUUUCAAAGCUGUUUGAUUGGCCUGUCAUGUGAAAUGCAAAAUUUGGUUAGUUUGGGCUUUACCGGAUCUCCCAUGGCUUAAAAUACAGGGUGUUUGAAAAAGAACUCACUAGUUUUAAGUAUAAACACAUUAAAACUAGGGAAGAACCGACAUAAUAAUAAUGGUGAUCAUUUUUUAAUAAAGUAAGUUAUUGCAUCACUA